UACGUAGGUGACAAGCGUUGUCCGGAUUUACUGGGCGUAAAGAGCGCGCAGGCGGUCGUUCAAGUCGAGUGUGAAAGCCCCCGGCUCAACUGGGGAGGGUCAUUCGAUACUGAUCGACUCGAAGGCAGGAGAGGGAAGUGGAAUUCCCGGUGUAGUGGUGAAAUGCGUAGAUAUCGGGAGGAACACCAGUGGCGAAGGCGACUCCUGGCCUGUUCUUGACGCUGAGGCGCGAAAGCUAGGGGAGCAAACGGG
rnacentral:rRNA from 1 species